rnacentral:rRNA from 1 species
UACGGGGGGAGCAAGCGUUGUUCGGAUUUACUGGGCGUAAAGGGCGCGUAGGCGGCCAGCGCAAGUCAGUUGUGAAAUCUCCGGGCUUAACUCGGAACGGUCAACUGAUACUGCGCGGCUAGAGUGCAGAAGGGGCAACUGGAAUUCCAGGUGUAGCGGUGAAAUGCGUAGAUAUCUGGAGGAACACCGGUGGCGAAGGCGGCAUCCUGGACCGGUAUUGACGCUGAUGCGCGAAAGCCAGGGGAGCAAACGGG